GCGGCGAAGUGGGGGUACCUCGGUCUAGCCGCGGUUGAGAUAGUCCCUUCGAACCUGAUCCGGCUGAUACCGGCGUAGGGAAGCUUCGUUAAAUGCGAU
rnacentral:ncRNA from 1 species